GCUUCCUUGGCUUAGUUGGUAAAGCGUCCGCCUAGUAAGCGGAAGAUCGCGUGUUCGAUUCCCGCAGGAAGCA